CCACUCUGGGCUCAUGUAAGGGCCAGCCAUGGACGGGAGAGCGUCUGUUGGAGCUAGGCUGCUCCGUGAGGAGGAGCGCUGUUUAGCCAGAGAUUUCCUUCACCAGCUGGCGGCAGUGCUUCUAUUGGAGAUUCAUCCCAGAUGUGAUCUGCAACUGAAGAGGGGACUGCAUAUGCAGUGUUUCCCAAGAGCUUACGCCUGAAGCAAUAGAAGAAAUUCUGCUGGAGCAGUAACAGUGUAAAACCUCUACUGAACAUGGAGGAGAUGACCGUGUCUGCACAAGAGGUACGUUGGCAGAUGAUGACAUUACUGCAGGAGAAGGUAAGUUGUGAAUCCAUGAGAACUCAUAGCAGCUGUUUGCAUUAUAACCUCAGCGUCAGUGUGAAGUAAAUGAAGAGCACUAAAAUGAUUACCUUAGGAAAGAUAUGUCAUAUAUAUCUUGUUUAACCCCGAGUGGGUUGGGGUUACAGCACCUGAGGAUGGUGUGUAGGUCACUCUCACCCAUUCUUGCCAGAACUUAUUUUGCAGCAUCUCCGUGAUUCCGUGAGAAUUAUGAAACUCAACGUGCUGUCAAUGCGCUGUAUGAAAAAAAUUGCUGCAGGCUUUGCCUGAGCUCACUGCUGUCCCUGUGUAUCUCAGUUGUUUCUCUCCCUCCUAGUGCUUACUGGCAUGUUCAUAAUGGACAGUGCUCCAUUCUUCCUUGGCUAGAAACACACGGUCCCUUUUGGUGAAGAAACUGUGAGUUUGAACCUCAAGUCAAAACCUGCUUUGUUACAAACCAUGGGAAGUACAGUCUGUGAGUUUUGAUCCCUGUUAACCUGGUGUUUGCUGCCCACCUCUCUGUGUCGUGAUCCGUAUGGAGCAGCACUGGGUGACCAUGCACUGAUCUGGACUUUCACAUGUUGAGAAAUGUCCUGAAGGCAGAUUAUUUUACAAAAUAUUUGAAAAAGUUUUCCCUGAUUUUGAUCAGAGCCAGUGUGGUCUUGAUGGUCCUAAAGCCCUGAAAAAGGAGGCAAGGCUUGGCAAAGCAUCUAAGACUACAUAUGGUUUACAAAAUGCCUCAGAAGUGCUUGGAAUGGGCUUCUAUCAGACUUUGACUUUAGCCCUUCCUGACUGUGCUGACAGAGCUUCUACCAUUUUUUUGAGGCCCCUUUUUAUUUUAUUCUCAAAAAUUCUGCUGACAAGGCCACCUUUGUUGAGCUAUUAUGUACUGACAUCCAAAGAACAUUUUGAAUUGUACAUGAAGGAAGGCUAAUUCUGCUCAUGGUUCCUGGAAUAUUUUGGCUAUGGUGUGAUUUUGAUGCAAAGUUGGAAACUGUGCUACAAGGUGCCUUUUUAAAAAACAAAACAAAACCCAGGCAUACUGUCAGAAAUUCAUCAGCAGUUCCUCCCGAGUAAUGUACUUUUCCAAAGACAAGUGAAAAAAUGUCAAAACCAAAUAAAGAAUAGCUGUGUUACAGGAGCUAUUCGAGAUCCAAUUUAGCCUUUCUUAUAAGUUUCCCUUCCAGUAAGCUGCUCUUCUCAUGUUUUCUUCCAGUAAAUGAGAUGUGCAUAACUCAAUCGUAUUACAGAAUUGAUCCCUUUCAAAAACAUGCCAACAAACAAACAAGCAGAAACUUUUGAAUGGUAAAAGAGUUAAAAAUAAGGGGUGCUAAUUUCGUAACCCUUCGGCUCACAUUCCUGGCUUGUCCAGCUCUCCCUCCAUUCACAGGAGGAUCUGCAGAGUUACACUGAUAAGAAUUCAGGUCACAGGAGAUUUCUAGUAAUGGUCUAGAUUAAAUCCAUCCAUACAUUCAUCUUUCUGUACGCUGGAUGCGAGUGUUGGAUAUAAAAGCUGCAGAUCCCCAAUUUUUCAUUUCUGAAUAAACCAUUUGGAAGGAUUUUCCUCUUUCUUCCACUGGCGUAUACUGGGAGUAACUUCUUUCAAGCAAAUAAUAUUAUGCUGGCAGUUACAGCGGCAAGAGGAGCAAUAGGGCAGAGACAGAGUUUUGUGAUGUGUUAUAUUUUAAAAUGACACAUUUGUCUGGUAUGGGGUGGCUGAAAUGCAGAUUCAAGACUGAAUAGAAAUAUUUCUGCAUUAAAUUCAGUAUUUCUGCAACAAAUCUUCUGUUUUUGUAUAAGCAGAUGAAGCACUCCUGAUUUCAACAGCCCCCUGAGGCGCUGACCCACGGUAUUUAUUUCUAAUCCGUUCUGGGCUUUGUGACCUUGCUUGGUUCGUUUGUCUGUUACGUGCAAAUACUCCUUGCAGAUUCUACAGCAGGGGUGAGGCCAAGCUCUGGCAGGUCAGAAAGUGUGCUGUGAGCAAGUGUGCUUUACUGAAGGGGAAAGGAAAAAUACGGCUUUUGUACAGUAUGGUCCAUUGCCACUUCCAAUGGGGUUAAUAGGGCAACUACAGGCAAAUGGCAUGGCGGGGGAGGAAUUAAAGAUUUGGUUGUGUCUCAUAAAGUGCUUUAGGAUUCUGACGGUAUUUUUUGGUUGUAUCGAAAGGCUGCUCUGAGAGUAAUGCUUCCUGUUUAUUUCCAUGGAAAUUACUACAAAGAGCACUACAGCACCAGUUGACAGAGCAAGUUCUCAGCUACAAAGUGCUCUUUUUCAACACAGUCGCCACUGUGAGCUGUUUAUUUUCACCAGUGAUAAACAAGUGCCUACGUGCUGCACUCAUACAAAUCUACACGCCAGUGGAGGUGUACCAUUGUUGCUGUUGCAGCUGUUGAAAUGCACCACCCACUGCUUCACUGCGCUCACACUCACUAUUUGGUCUCCAGAAAUAUUCAGCCAGCACUGAUGAGUGGUGGGGGGCUGGCAAUGGAGCGAGGCCAGCUCCUCGGGAGGUUUGAAAUGUUGUGGGCAUUGUGACCUGAUAACCUUCCUCUUCAGAAACCCUCUGCCACUGUGAUCCUUUAGAACUGAGAAAUAAGACUGAGGAGUUUUCCAGUUAGUUCUUUUAAAGGAGACUGAUGUGUAGCGGUGCCUAAAAGUUGGCUGCCCAGUUCGUGAAUGGUUUCUGCUGCUGGCAGGCUGCUGGAGCUAUUUCAGAACAGCACUUUUCUGACUCCAUCAGGAGGUGCAAGCUCAGAGCCACUCACGUAAGCUUUGCCUUAGGGGUAUCAGCAGUAGUGGAGUCUCUAAUGAAAAAGAAUAACUGAAACAACAACAAGAGAAAUGAGGAAAAUGAAGAUUUUCAGACAACAUGUCUUUUAUCUGUGCCUCUGCUGGGUGAGGUGAGUGCUUCUGUUCUGUGUUAUAGCUGAACUCACAGCUAUAUGCAGAGGGGGUGCUGGGAGGCUGUUCUAAUUAAAACUGGUUCUUACUUAUGAAAUUCAGGAUGCUGGGAGGAAGCUGUCCGGGAUGAUUAAAACACUAUCUGAAUGUUGACACAGAUCCAUUUGUGAGCCUUUCUUUAGUUGUGAUAUUGUCUGCAGUUUUUGUAGCUGUUGUUUGUUUGCUGGGUUUCUUUUUUCUCCAGUAUUGGAAACUACAAUGUCUGAAUAUUUUCUCUUCAGUGGACGAUCAGGCUGACCGCUGCAGGUGCUACAAUAAGGUACCUGGCUGUUGCCAACAGAGUUUUCUUUUUCUUUCUUCUCCCAGGAAGAAGCCCAUAUCCUCCUUGAACCCUCUGCCUGAUUGUGUGCGAUUCUGCAGCAAUUCGUUUCUUCAUGAAUAGUAAGAAGAAACAUAAGAGAAGUGCUAGAGUUGGACUGGCUUUUUCUGUCUCACCUGCAUGGCUUGAAGCACUUCUCACCCUUCUCAUCCCCAUAGCAGCAGGCAGAGUGGCAGUCCCAUAUCCCAUCCUGCUGGCUGCUCGUAACACCCUUCCUGACCUCUGCUUUCCUCUUCCUUGUUUCUUUACCUGUUGACAUUGUGAGAUGUAAGGCAUGCUUCUUCAGGAGUGCAGCUUGGAUGCUCGCUGAGUGUGUUUCCCAUCUUCCUCCCGCCCAUCACAUCUCAGUUAUUUCUGCAGCCAGCCUUAUUUUUCCUUUUCCCUGCGUCCUGCUACUUGUCUCAGCAGUAUCUCAGGUAGAAUUUCAGGUGUUCAGGCAGGUUAACGUCAGAUGAAAAUCUUGAAGGACAAAUAGUAGGUGCAGCACCAAACCUGCUAUUUAUGUCAGUAUAGACUGGAGCUGGAGUUCAGCAAUAAAAUUCAUCUUAAGCAUCGUCUGUAAGUAUUUCCUUCAAGACUAAGUCCUGGGUUUAAAUGGCAAAUAAUUGGUUUGCACGUGAGAUUUUAUUUGCCGUGAUGAAUCACUUUGGGAAAAUUUCAUCUGUCUCUGAUGCCAGAGGGCACAUUCACAUUUAUCAGCAGAUCAGUAAAUAUUUGCGUGAGAUGCACAAAUUGGCUAUAAGCUCCAAGUUUUUGGAAAUGGCAGAUCUUUACCAAUAGGUGUGAAGCUUCAUGGUUCCAUGCAGCUUGUGCACCUCUG